rnacentral:rRNA from 1 species
UACGGGGGGGGCAAGCGUUGUUCGGAAUUACUGGGCGUAAAGCGUGCGCAGGCGGUUCGUUGUGUCGGCGGUGAAAGCCCCGGGCUUAACCUGGGAAUGGCCGUCGAAACUGGCGAACUGGAGUGUGGCAGAGGGGGGUGGAAUUCCACGUGUAGCAGUGAAAUGCGUAGAGAUGCGGAGGAACACCGAUGGCGAAGGCAGCCCCCUGGGCUGACACUGACGCUCAGGCACGAAAGCGUGGGGAGCAAACAGG